rnacentral:rRNA from 1 species
CCUACGGGAGGCAGCAGUGAGGAAUAUUGGUCAAUGGGAGAGAUCCUGAACCAGCCAAGUCGCGUGAGGGAUGACGGCCCUACGGGUUGUAAACCUCUUUUGUCGGGGAACAACACCCGGUACGUGUCCCGCUUUGCGUGUACCCUAAGAAUAAGGACCGGCUAAUUCCGUGCCAGCAGCCGCGGUAAUACGGAGGAUGCGAGCGUUAUCCGGUUUUAUUGGGUUUAAAGGGUGCGUAGGCGGGCGGUAAAGCCGGCGGUAAAAUUGCGGGGCUCAACCCCGUCGAGCCGUGGAAACUGGCGGGCUUGAGUGGGCGAGAAGUAGGCGGAAUGCGCGGUGUAGCGGUGAAAUGCAUAGAUAUCGCGCAGAACCCCGAUUGUGAAGGCAGCGUGCCGGAGCGGAACUGACGCUGAGGCACGAAAGCGUGGGGAUCGAACAGGAUUAGAUACCCGGGUAGUC